CUGACUCUGACUAUGUGCAAAGACUGGAGGCAAUUGGACUUUUUGCCAUGAGAAAAUGAUGUCUGAGAGGGCUUUCAGACACAGGGAAAUAAGAAUAAAGAAGCUGAAUGUGGGUUCAUAUUAAAACAGAACAGCAAAACUACGAACCAAGUGAGUGAGAGGCCAAAUCUAAAUCUGAAUGCUUCAGAAAAUCCUUCUUUGUACAAAGAAUAAUUGCUAAUGGAACAGAGUUCUGAAUGGAACACGAAAGUCAUAGAGUUCUACAGCGAGGAAAUAGAACCGUCAGUCCAACUCAUCCAUGCUGACCAGAGCCCAGGGCUGAGGCACCAGUUCUAUCCUGCCCAGGAUGAGCGGAUGGAUCAAGAUCAGGUUCACCUGCCUGAGAGGAUGUAAAAGAUCACCUGGCACAUGGGAAGGUUUCUUUUAUUCAUUAAGUAAGGAUUUUGAUGGAAAGAAAACAAUAUUAUGAACAAGAGAACAACAUAUUACUCCAGAGACCAACCCAGAAAGAUAUACAUGAAUACCGUUUAUUAUGAGCACCUGAUAUCUUCAUCUACUUUGGUACCAUUGUAUUCAAUGAUCAAUAUUUGCAGUGAAUGACUAGAUCACAAGAGCAGAGAAAACAUAUUAAACCCUGUAUUCUUUUAUUGUGAUAUAAAUCACUUCCAGACAAAUAUAUCCUGGGGGAGAUUAUUAGCAAACGUAAUCACAAAUGUUACAGAAUAUGGAUUACUGCAUGUUAUAACACAAUGAAAGAAUUGAAAAUGUGCUUGCCCUAUUAAGGUGCAAAAAUAAUAAUGGCUGUUCUACCACUUAUGAUUAAUCUGAGCAUGUAAAAUCCUGUCAUGUUUAAUAUCAGGUUCACAGUAUAUUAGAGGCGCAAUGGCUAUAACUUAUGAAUAAUUGAUUUCUUUUUAAUGAAAAGUAAUCUGUUAUUCCAUAUUGUAAUCAUUGCUUGCUGUUAUUUAAGAGAAUAUUCCUUCAUGUUUUUCACAGUAUGCUGUGUAUCACCAAAAAACACCCUUAUUGUUCCAAAUUAUAAUGUAUUAUUCGAAGGAGAAUGUGGUUUGUACUCCUCUUCCUGUGGCAGGAAGCUGGGGUUUUAGUAAAAGUCUUUAACUUUCCCUCCUCCAAUUCUGCCUCUUAUUCAUAACGAACAAGGAAUAAUAUAGCACAGGAACAGGCCCUUCGGCCCACCAAGCCUGCACCAACACAUGGCGCCUUUCUAAACUACAAGCCUUCUGCCUCUGUGCAGUCUGUAUCCCUCUAUUUGCUGCCUAUUCAUGUAUCUGUCAAGAUGUCUCUUCAAUGUUGCUAUUGCAUCUGCUCCUACCACCUCCUCUGGCAGCACAUUCCAGGCACUUACCACCCUCUGUGUAAAACUUUGGCUCUGACACCCCUUUAAACCUCCCCCUGUCUUUUAGCUUAAACCUAUGUCCUUGGUAACUGACAACGUUUGUACAAUCUCUCUUCAUAGCUAAUACUAUCCAAACCAGGUAACAUCCUGAUAGACUGUUUCCAUACCCUUUUCAAUUCCUCCGCAUUCUUCUUGUAGUGUGGUGACCAAAAUUGUACACAAUAUCUAAAAGUGGCCUAACUAUUGUUCUAUACAGCUGCAACAUGACUUGCCAAUUUUCAUACUCUAUACUCUAACCAAUGAAGGGGGGCAUGGUAGACAACUUCUUGAACACCUUCUCCACUAGUCUUUGCUUUUCAAUCUGUGGAAGAAUUGUUAACCAAAGCAGCCAUCUUGACAUAUAUUCAAAGCCUGGAAUUAAUUUUAAAUCUCAUAUUAGCGUCUGCUUGUUAAGUUUGUAUGUUCCCAGGCUCAGUGAGGUGGUUGACCUUACUAACACCUGAUUGUGAGUUCUUUCCCAGCAUGGGAAUGCUCUUCUUUUACAAGAAUCUAUUGUAAUACUAACACUUGCUUAUCAGCUACUAACUAGCACUGUCCAGACACUACAUGACUGAGACUAGUGACUGGAUGAAGUGCCUAUUUACUCAUUAUGCUACAAGUAACAGUUUGCUAAUUGUUAAAUGAUUGUAAGCUAUAUAAUCAUGCAACUCUCUGUAUCUCGUCGGAGUGACUUGUGCCCAGUAGGUCGAAUUGUCUCUUCCCGUGAGCUCACGAAUAAACAGUC